CGGCCGCGUCGACGAAAUGCGUAGAUAUAGGAAGGAACACCAGUGGCGAAGGCGACCACCUGGGCUAAUACUGACGCUGAGGCUCGAAAGCGUGGGGAGCAAACAGGAUUAGAUACCCUGGUAGUCCACACGGUAAACGAUGGAUACUCGCUGUUGGCGAUAUACGGUCAGCGGCCAAGCGAAAGCAUUAAGUAUCCCACCUGGGGAGUACGCCGGCAACGGUGAAACUCAAAGGAAUUGACGGGGGCCCGCACAAGCGGAGGAACAUGUGGUUUAAUUCGAUGAUACGCGAGGAACCUUACCCGGGCUU
rnacentral:rRNA from 1 species